GACCCUAUAGUGAAGCGGUGAUCACGCUACCCUGUCACGGUAGUAUCACGGGUUCAAAUCCCGUUAGGGUCG
rnacentral:tRNA from 1 species